AGCGCAGACAAUAGCGACAUGGCCGCCUCCCGCCCCGCGGCGGGGAAGGAGCCAGGCGAGCGGCCGGCCCGGGCCUGGCUCGACGCCGGGUACUCGGGGCAGAAGCAGGAGCACGUCCUGCCUAGCAGUUCUCCGGGUAGACGGCUGGUUUCGGCUACGGGAAACACAGCGCCUAGCCCCGACACCGUGGUGUUCGUUCACAGAACUGGCGGGGUGUCAUAAAUGCAGAUGAGCCUCAUAUAUUAAUACAAAACAAAAAAAAAAAAAUACGAACAGACAUUUGACAGGAGGAGAUGUUGAUCUAUAUAUUCAAUUUCAAACCCUUAGGUACUCUUUGAGGAUGUUGGGGAGCUGUACAAAGUUCGGGAAGUGCAGUUGAAAUGUAAUCUCCCCUUCCCCUUUUUUAAAAAAAAAAUAAAUAAACCUACUUUCUAGAAAAAAUAUAGUUAACAAUACACUUUUUCAAUGUCAGAUCAGAUUGCUCAGCAGAACUGACUUUCUGUCUUCUGUCAGAAAGACACAUAAAGUAAAAGCAUGUUGUGUAGUUGCUCCAGGACAAAAUCAAUCACUUAAUUCUGUGUAUCUCUGGUGAAUUAUUUUUUUUUAUUAUUAACACAUGAAAUUAUGCAAACAUAAAUAAUAAAACAACAUGAAGUCACAUCAAUGAAGGAUUCAUUCUUAACAUAUAUUGUUCUCAGUCAUAUGUGGAGUGGUAGAAAGCAUCACAUAAAAAGACAUGAAAGAAGAAGCACUGACAUUUAGCAAAGGUGAAUUAUUCUUUCAACUUAUCUCAGUAAAAAUCAAAUCUCCUUUAUGUUGCUUUACAUCCUUUCCUCAGAACUAUAGCGUUAAUGAAAGCCCUUUGCAACAUUAAACUGUGAAACCUGCCUAGAGUGUAUUUACACAAUCCAUAUAUAAAUAGACCAUGCUUUCUUAGGUUUUCUAGUAGAAUAAAAUCAAUCGGUGCAUAUUCAAGCUACGAAAA